rnacentral:rRNA from 1 species
CCUACGGGAGGCAGCAGUGAGGAAUCUUGGUCAAUGGACGAGAGUCUGAACCAGCCAAGUAGCGUGAAGGAUGACUGCUCUAUGGGUUGUAAACUUCUUUUAUAAAGGAAUAAAACGAGGCACGUGUGCCUUUUUGCAUGUACUUUAUGAAUAAGGAUCGGCUAACUCCGUGUCUGCAGCCGCGGUAAUACGGAGGAUCCGAGCGUUAUCCGGAUUUAUUGGGUGUAAAGGGAGAGUAGAUGGUUUGUUAAGUCAGUUGUGAAAGUUUGCGGCUCAACCGUAAAAUUGCAAUUGAUACUGGCAGUCUUGAGUACAGUUGAGGUAGGCGGAAUUCGUGGUGUAGCGGUGAAAUGCUUAGAUAUCGCGAAGAACACCGAUUGCGAAGGCAGCUUACUAAACUGUGACUGACAUUGAUGCUCGAAAGUGUGGGUAUCGAACAGGAUUAGAUACCCGUGUAGUC